AACAAACGCUGGCGGCGUGCCUAAUACAUGCAAGUCGAACGGGUAGCAAUAUCAGUGGCGCACGGGUGAGGAAUACAUAGAUAAUCUGCCUUCGAGUCGGGGAUAACCAGUCGAAAGACUGGCUAAUACCGGAUAAGACCACAGGAUCUGCGGAUCUAGGGGUUAAAGGUUUUUCGCUUGGAGAUGAGUCUAUGCGAGAUUAGCUAGUUGGUGAGGUAAUGGCUCACCAAGGCGACGAUCUCUAACUGGUCUUAGAGGAUGAUCAGUCACACUGGAACGGAGACACGGUCCAGAAUCCUACGGGAGGCAGCAGUAGGGAAUAUUGCGCAAUGGGGGAAACCCUGACGCAGCGACGCCGCGUGAGUGAUGAAGGCCUUCGGGUCGUAAAGCUCUGUCGUAUGGGAAUAACACAAUGAAUGUACCAUGCAAGAAAGGAUCGGCUAACUACGUGCCAGCCGCCGCAGUAA
rnacentral:rRNA from 1 species